CGGCAUGCCUUACACAUGCAAGUCGAACGGCAGCACGGGAGCAAUCCUGGUGGCGAGUGGCGAACGGGUGAGUAAUAUAUCGGAACGUGCCCAGUCGUGGGGGAUAACGUAGCGAAAGCUACGCUAAUACCGCAUACGAUCUAUGGAUGAAAGCGGGGGAUCGCAAGACCUCGCGCGAUUGGAGCGGCCGAUAUCAGAUUAGGUAGUUGGUGAGGUAAAGGCUCACCAAGCCAACGAUCUGUAGCUGGUCUGAGAGGACGACCAGCCACACUGGAACUGAGACACGGUCCAGACUCCUACGGGAGGCAGCAGUGGGAAUUUUGGACAAUGGACGCAAGUCUGAUCCAGCCAUUCCGCGUGCAGGAUGAAGGCCCUCGGGUUGUAAACUGCUUUUGUACGGAACGAAACGGUGAGCUCUAAUACAGUUUGCUAAUGACGGUACCGUAAGAAUAAGCACCGGCUAACUACGUG
rnacentral:rRNA from 1 species